AUAAUUUACAAUUAACUACAAAAACUACAUUAAUUUACAAAAACUUAUUUCUAAUAUCACAGGCAAGUAUCUAAAACUAUGGACAAACUAUCUACGGACAUGCAAAAACUACAGAAAACAACAGGAUUGACAUCUACAACAAAAACAUUGAUGCAGACAAGGAGGACAAACAACAACGGAGCACCGGCGGGCAUAA